GAUGAACGCUCGCUACAGGCUUAACACAUGCAAGUCGAGGGGCAGCAUGGUCUUAGCUUGCUAAGGCCGAUGGCGACCGGCGCACGGGUGAGUAACACGUAUCCAACCUGCCGUCUACUCUUGGACAGCCUUCUGAAAGGAAGAUUAAUACAAGAUGGCAUCAUGAGUCCGCAUGUUCACAUGAUUAAAGGUAUUCCGGUAGACGAUGGGGAUGCGUUCCAUUAGAUAGUAGGCGGGGUAACGGCCCACCUAGUCUUCGAUGGAUAGGGGUUCUGAGAGGAAGGUCCCCCACAUUGGGACUGAGACACGGUCCAAACUCCUACGGGAGGCAGCAGUGAGGAAUAUUGGUCAAUGGGCGAGAGCCUGAACCAGCCAAGUAGCGUGAAGGAUGACUGCCCUAUGGGUUGUAAACUUCUUUUAUAAAGGAAUAAAGUCGGGUAUGGAUACCCGUUUGCAUGUACUUUAUGAAUAAGGAUCGGCUAACUCCGUG
rnacentral:rRNA from 1 species